CCGAUACCCACACGUACAGAGGACGCACGUCCGACGUACAACGUCAGUUGGAAGAACACGAUGCGACCGCUCGACACAGCGUCGUCGGUCGGCAGAGAAUUCGUUACCGUGGUGCAUGAGACAAUAUUGAAUACUCGUUGACGCUUCNGGGGUACCUGUCGCACGUCGGCCGUUUCGCGUGCGGUGAGCAGGCCUCGGGCUUCGGCCCCCGGUCGGCGAAGGUCCAACGAACCGUGCGCGCGAAAGCGCGUUCGGUCGCCCCGUCGCAUUCUCGUUUCAUUGUCGGUUACCGGUGUCGUACGGUCGCGUUUACCCAGUCAGGACAACGAGAGUUACACAGAC
rnacentral:misc_RNA from 1 species